UGCCAGACUCCUACGGGAGGCAGCAGUGAGGAAUAUUGGUCAAUGGGCGGGAGCCUGAACCAGCCAAGCCGCGUGAAGGAAGAAGGCGCCAGGCGUCGUAAACUUCUUUUGUCGGGGAACAAAGGGCGCCACGUGUGGCGUUGUGAGUGUACCCGAAGAAAAAGCAUCGGCUAACUCCGUGCCAGCAGCCGCGGUAAUACGGAGGAUGCGAGCGUUAUCCGGAUUUAUUGGGUUUAAAGGGUGCGUAGGCGGGCUUUUAAGUCAGCGGUAAAAAUUCGGGGCUCAACCCCGUCCGGCCGUUGAAACUGGGGGCCUUGAGUGGGCGAGAAGAAGGCGGAAUGCGUGGUGUAGCGGUGAAAUGCAUAGAUAUAACGCAGAACCCCGAUUGCGAAGGCAGCCUUCCGGCGCCCUACUGACGCUGAGGCACGAAAGUGCGGGGAUCGAACAGGAUUAGAUACCCUAGUACAA
rnacentral:rRNA from 1 species